rnacentral:rRNA from 1 species
CUUACUGACUUGUCAUCAAUCUAGGAAACUCAGGCCUGCGAGCUUGCUCAAAAGCACUGUCACAGGUGGUGCAUGGCUGUCGUCAGCUCGUGUCGUGAGAUGUUGGGUUAAGUCCCGCAACAGGCGCAACCCCUAUCAUUAGUUGCCAGCGGUUCGGCCGGGGACUCUAAUGAGACUGCUGGGAUAACCAGGAGAAAGGUGGGGAUGAUGUCAAGUCAGUAUGUCCCUUAUCGGUAGGGCUACACACGUGCUACAAUGGCUGGUACAAAGAGBGAGACCGCGAGGUGGAGCUAAUCUCAUAAAACCAGUCUCAGUUCGGAUUGGAGUCUGCAACUCGACUCCAUGAAGUUGGAAUCGCUAGUAAUCGUGAAUCAGCACGCCACGGUGAAUACGCUCCCGGGCCUU